AAAAUUAUAAAUCACACAAAAACUUACAUAUAAAAAUUAUCUAAACAGCAAUUUAUAAACAAACUAGAAUCAAAUUUCAAUCAA
rnacentral:rRNA from 1 species